GCGGCAAACGGGUGAGUAAUAUCUGGGAAUCUACCCAAAAGAGGGGGAUAACUACUAGAAAUGGUAGCUAAUACCGCAUAAUGUUGAAAAACCAAAGUGGGGGACCUUUUUAGGCCUCAUGCUUUUGGAUGAGCCCAGACGAGAUUAGCUUGUUGGUAGAGUAAAAGCCUACCAAGGCAACGAUCUCUAGCUGGUCUGAGAGGAUAACCAGCCACACUGGAACUGAGACACGGUCCAGACUCCUACGGGAGGCAGCAGUGGGGAAUAUUGCACAAUGGGCGAAAGCCUGAUGCAGCUAUGCCGCGUGUAUGAAGAAGGCCUCAGGGUUGUAAAGUACUUUCAGCGGGGAAGAAAAAAAUAAAACUAAUAAUUUUAU
rnacentral:rRNA from 1 species